CAUGUAUCUCUCAUCGGAGUCCUCUGGCUAAUUGCAUCAUUCUAAUGGUCUUUUUCAUGAUCAUACUCUGUGGGUUAACCGGUGCAGUUUUGUCCGCUGACUGACAAUGGCCACAGGCUCUCAAGCAGCACCAUGCAUACCCAAAGCAGAGACGGGAAAAAGCCUCUUUCAAUUCCCAGGAUGCAAAGAGAGCAAGGGGAGUUUUUCAAAUGAUGAGCUCUUGCAAAUUGAUGACU